CUGAAACAUGCAUGAUCUUAAUCUGAUUUUGAGGGGACAUGUACUUUGCACCCUCUUAAGUGGUCCAGCUUUCUGGGCUCUUUAUACAGGAGUGAUCUUGGAGACCUAUAAAAGCAAUGUCCCCUCUUCACACUCAAGACUUUAGAAUUACUUACCCUGUCAGGGACAGUCAUGUGAAUUUAAAGUCUCACUAUUCCAGCAAGGACUAAGAUUCCCAUAGGAG